rnacentral:lncRNA from 1 species
AUUAUUGUAAUGUUGUCUGGUGAGAAGGUCAAGUCUAUGUAUCAUACGUUUUAGCAAAUUGUACAAAUUGGUGAUUAACAGAUAUUUAUUUGCUCACCUAAAUAGGAAAGCAAUAUUAUUGUCAAGAUGUGUCUUGUGGAUCUUUCCAUCUGAUAAACUAUGAAUUUUGGUAUUAGCUUGGCUAAUGCAGUGAUAAUGUUGUGGGUAACACCUUAACACUCGUUGUUUCUGGAAGUGCUUGUUUGUUUUGUGGUCAAUAAGAAAAACAUGCUAGUUUGAUUAAAUUGCCUCUACUUUAAUGUUGUUUGGAUUCAAGGCAAUUCUACACCAAAAAUACGUUAAUGCAGUCAUGUUUGCUUUUGUAAUAUUUAUGGAAUGAAUGUAGUGUGGGUUAUUUGAGAGAUGGGCAUUGGUCUAAUGUCUAAAAAAAUGGAAAAAAGAAGAUAGGUAGCAUGUGAAGCAUGGUUCCAUCUAGCAUCCAUCAACCAUGACUCUACUGCUUUCUUGGUCUCCAUUUUUAAUAUUUUUGCAAGUAAGUUGAAUAUCUGCUAAAUACUAAUAUAGUAAUCUGGUCUUCUCAGCUGUUUUGUCUUUAGAUACAUGGUUAAGAUGCAGUUUUCCAUUUUCAGUUUCAGAUGCAGGAAUCCAUUUUUGGGAUCAAUACAAUUUCAUUGGUUGUCUGAGGUACAUGAUCUUUGCCUUUCAAAAGUAUCGGUUGCCACAGAUUAUUCUGAUUCUGUUCCAUAUUCAUCUUGUUAUGCAAGUAACCAAGGUUAUCAUCCUCUUGAAGAACUGAAAGUUUGCAAAAGGAUCCGAGAAACAAAAUUAUCAUCAGCUGAAAUAGCAAGGACAACUGUUGAGGUGCAUCUUUUAAAAUCUUGUUAUUACAGAUCUGGCAAAAAAAUUUAGAGUUUAGAUCAUUUGAAAUGAGUUGAAUAAGUUGACAGCAUCAGUGUGUUUGUUACUCCCAUAACAUAAACAUAACUAAUUUUUCCUCUGCAACAAGAAUUCAUGGUUAUGCUUUUCCAGUUUUGCUUGUCUUAGGCUAACAGCAGUGCUUUGCUAGUCUUUCCUAGGACGGUACAUUCUAAACCUUAUGAACAGAUUUCGUGGGCUGAAUUUCAGUAUGUUGUUGAUGAUUAUGGAGGUAAGUUGAUGGAGUACCACUUUUGGUCUUUAUUAAGCUUUCUUUUUAUUAGUAUUUUAUUUCCAACUGUGUUUUUGGAUAAAUAACUUUCCAACUUUUAUUUAUAAAUUACAAUUUUUUCUUCUUUCAGAAUAUCUUAUUUCCAUUGAGGCUUUAGUUGUCUUUAUAUACAUUCUGGUAUGCUUAAUUUAUUAUUGUUUUGGGAUUUUGAAUACUGAAAUUAGUGUUUCUCUCUUUCCUUUUCCUUUCCUCUGUUUCUGUUUUCUUCUUCCCUUCUUGUUUAUACUGUCUUCCCAUUUCUCUUGGUUUAUUAUUGCUUUUAUCUCUCUCCUUAAAUAAUUAGUUCUCUUCUUUCAAUAAGUUCGCAUGGAGCAUGUUAUAUUAUAUUUACCUAAUUUAUGUGUUACCUUUCUUUUUCUAAAUUCAGAUUUUUUUUUUUUUGAAAAUUUUGAUGAUGAGAACAUCUUACAAGAUCGUGGAGAAAGUAACCUUGUGGUGAGGAUAUAAUUGCUUCUCAAAUACUGUAGCUUAAAUUAAGUUUGAUACCACUGCAUAUUUACUGCAAAGUUGAGUGUCUUUAAUUUAUCAUGGGUUAAUAUUGUGAAUGGCUCCUAGACAAUAGUGAAAUAUUCAUUGUGGUAUCCGAAUUUUAAAAAUUUUUAAUGUGAUAUUUGAACUACAAAUCUGUUAACUAAUGUGAUAUUUACUUUUAAUAUAACUAGUUUUAAAUAAUGACAUGUAACGGAUAAACCACCCUUUAAAUAUUAUAUUAGUUAACAAUUCAUAGUUCACAUAUCACAUCAAAGAUUUUUAAAAUUCAAUAUCACAUUGAACAUUUCAUUAUAAUUUAGGGACUAUUUAUAACAUUAAUCCAUUUAUCAUUUAGAAGUCACUAGGCUAACGGUUGCUAUGUAUCGACUGUACUAGUCAAUGCAUAGCUGAAGAAUAUGGUCAACAACGAAUAGAGAAGGCAAAAAAAUCCAAAACCGAUAGGUUCUGACCUUACUUGACUUCUUAAGAUUGAUUUAAAAAAAAAAAAAAAUCAAAUCGGGUUAAGUCGAGUGACAUAAAAAGAAUUUGAGGUCGGACUCGAGUUUUUGGCAAACCAAAUCUUAUCUAAUCCGAUAUAUAUAAAAAAAUUAUUUAUUUAAUUUUAUAUUUAUAUUAAAAAUAAUAUUUUAUUAAUUUCGGGUCGGAUAUGAUUUUAUAUAAUGUCGGAUCGGUUCAGGUAUAAAAAUAAUAAAAAAUUUGUCCGAUUUGAUCAGGUUUUGCUCGUCCUGACCCGACCCGUUGCCAUAACUAUCAAUAAUGCAUAGCUUUCAGAUUUUGAUAUUAAAGGUUCCAAAGCUGCGGAGGGAUUUUGAUAAGCCUUUCAUCAAUCUGUAAACAAAGAAUAAAUGGCUUCUGAAAUUACAAAAAUCAGUAAUAAAUUGCAAAUGUUGUAACAAGGCUUUGGAGAUGUUAAAAAUGUAUGCAUGGCUGCGGGAGUGCAUUAUCCUCUAAUUGGGAGAUUGCAAGUGUAUUAUUCCAUGAUAAAAGUUUCAAACCAUACCCUACUCUUAAUUGUACUGGUAGAGUUUAAAAUUUUCAUCAUCAUAAUUAAGUAAAAUAAUAUUAUUCUGAAAUAAACAUGUGUAAAUUGUAAAACUGGUUUAUGUCAAAUACUAAUUCAAAGAUAAAUCCGAUAUUAUUUCAAUUUUUUUGUAAUUUUUAUAAAUAUUCUUAAUUAAUUAUUAAGGACAAAUGUUUUAUUAAAAUAUUUUCAAUGAUUUCAUAUCAUCUUAUGAGUCUAAAAUUAAAAAAAAAAAAAAAAGAUUCUUCAGCAUUCUGUUUAUCAUGCUAUAAACUGUGGGAUUUUGGAGGAGGGACGAGAGGUAAAACGAUCAUGCAAUAUAGUGUAAAAGAUGCUUAUUAUUUGGUAUUAUAUUCAAAAGAACAUACCAUACCUUUUUGGAACUGAUGGAGAAACUUCACAGAAGGCUUUCAUCUCUUCUUUAGAAGCUAGUGCGUCUAUAAAAAGGACAUCUGCUCCAGCAUCAGCAAAAGCCCUUGAUCUCCAGAGUGACUCCUCUAAAGACAUUGCUUGACGAGAAUCUGUUCGUGCUUCAGUAACAAUGUCAGAACCACUCUCUUUACGAGCAUCAACAGCAGUUUUAACUCAUUACAGCUACCUUCCUGCCUUUUGUAUGACCACAAGCUUUUGGAGACACCUAGCAAUGAAAUUUUAUAAAAACCAGAGCCUCAAAAUGGAACAAGAAUAAAUAAGCAAUUCAAAGACUAUUAAACUAAACUGGACGGUAGAAUGUAAAUGAAACUGCUUAGAGUGCCAUAAACAUUGUUUACUGCCUUGCAGGGCUAGCGUUCUGCCGAUAAAGUCACUUCUCAUGAAAGUGUCUAGUUUCCCAUUCACUAUAUUACAAGCUUUUGGAAAUCUUUUCAAAGUGUAUCUUCUAUAUUGUGUGGUUUUGUAAUCAUGCUCAAAGUUUAAAGUUUAAUUCUUAGGUUUAUGUUACAGGAAACCUAUAAGUUUACUACUGACUUCUACUUGCAAAUUCAAAAUUUACUUAUUGCUGACAAGUAAUACAAUUUGUUUCUUCAAAUCCUACUUUCUAAAUAUCAAUUGAAAUGGGUAGCCUUAGCGGCAGAAAAUAACAAAAAUUUCAAACACUUGGAUGGGACCUUCUCCAAUGCUAUUCCUAAAAGCCAGCACAGUGCUCAACCAGUUCACAUGCAUGGACCAUAACAUACGUACCAAAAGAUGCUUAAGAUGAAGCUAAUAUGGUACUCUACAUGCUAAGAACCAAUCUAUCUAAGAUUUAGAAACCAUUAGCACGAGUCCUGACGGAAUUAAUCCAAAAACAGGAGCUAUAAAGUUGGUAAAACUCCUGAGAAAAGGACAGAGAGAACGGUGAGGGAAGAGAGGACAAAGAAAAAGAUGAAAAUUGAUCCAAAACGUUUACCACCAACAUAAAUAUUUGAAAAAGAUAAAAAUUUUUUCUACCGAACAUGAACUUGAUCUUCAAGAAUGAUCCUGCAAAGCCUGCUCUUAUAUAUCCUUUCACAGUUCUCUUGACAUUCAUCGCAUUUCCAUCCAUUAUCACCAUCCCCAAUGACACGAAUUGACACAGCCUGGGUGAUUUGUUGCCACCGAUCCACCAUUUCACCAUAGGAAAUAAAUACUGUGUCUGGUAAUUCCAAAUCCCAGGCGAGCAGCAGAAAUGGAAAAUCCUAAUGAUGGCAGCAAAAGAUGUUAAUGAACAUAUCAUCUUGAAACAGUUAAGUAACAAGAUAGAGAAAAUCUUUUAAACAAAUACAUUUGUGCAAUAAUACGCAUUCAUAUUUUGAUACUAGAAAUGCAUCAAACAUAUAUAAGGGAUAAUUCAAAGAAACAAAAUAAUAGUGUUGUACAAAUGAAACCAACAUGUGGGGAGAACACAAGGACAAAAUUGCAGUAAUUACUAAUUUAUUACAAAACCCUAUGAAUUCGUAUAUGGUCCUCAAAAUAAGUCCAAUGGAACUAAUAUCAGGCUUAUGGACAUAAAAGGAAACAAAAGAAAAGUAAACAGAAAUGCCUUAGAUAAUUAAACAAUCAGCAUCAAUGAAAUGAGCAGUUAGCACUAAAAAAUUGCAAAUUCACAGAGCGCUCUUCUUGUUUGAAAAAAAAAAUGCAAUCCAUCACCCAGAAAAUUAAAGUAAAACAGCUAGCACAAAAAACUCCCAUUUUAAAGAACCAGAUUAAUCAUCAAAAUUCAAGUAGUUAUCAAUCAUGCAAACAAAGACCAAGACUUGGGAUUAUCAAAUCAAUGCAAAAACUGCACAAACCACGAAAAUAGAAGAAACCCAAAUCACAAAAUCCAGCAGUUUAAUGAUCAAUAAAGAGAAAAGAUUGGCCCUUUUAUAUCCAGAAACUCCAACUCAAGAAAACCCACAUCUUGGAAUUUUUAUAUCUAUGAAAAGAUUGGACAAAAAACAUAGAAAUAAAGCAGAGUACCACUGGUGAAACAAUACUGAAAGCCAGCUCUUUCAACAAGCUUAGCACUGAGACAAUAAAAACAAGCAGGGCCUUAGUGAACCCCUGGCAAUUCCAGAAUUUGUCUAAGUGCCUUUGCGGGUGGAUUCCUCUCUCCUAAAUAAGCUGAUAUAGCUUGGAACCGCUUAGAAGCAGUAAAGAGAGGGUUGGGCUUUGGUUUUCUUGUCUGGGUAUUGAUGGGAGAUAUAAAGGAGCCAUUUUUGAAAUUUGGAAGUGGAAAAGAGUGAGCUUGGGAGAAAGGGUGGUUGAAAAAAGAGAGAGCUUGGUCUCUGCUAGCUACUACCACUGAUGAUGGGUUCAUGAUUGAAGCUCAGUUUGCCUCCCUCUUUGCGUCUCUUGGUGACCCUUUGCUUUGAAGUUUGGUGAUGAAAAGGUCGUUUAUUGUCAAGAAUUUUUCUUUAGCAAAAUUUGAUCAAUGAAGAGAAAAAAACAAAUAAAUAAAAUUUAAAAGGAAAGAGAACAAAAAAGGGAGAAGAAUAGGGCUUUUGAGCUUUGUCUUUAAGUUUUUGUAUCCAAGAAAAAAAAAAAAAAGAACAGAGCUUUUGUUUCAAGUUGGCAUUUAGAGGAGGUAAUAAAUCUUAAAAUUUGGAUAAGCACAAACAUUAGUUCAUAAUAAUCUGAUACUUCUUUUUCUUUUUUUUUAAAUAUUUUCGGAUGUUUUAAAAUUAUAUAUUUUUUAAUAUCUAAAAUUUUUAUAUUUAUAUAUUAAAAUUAUUUUUAUGAUUUUUUUUACAUUUUAAUAUUAAAAAUAAUAAAAUUUUAAUUUUAUCAAAAAAAUUAAUUUUAAUAUUAAAUACAUUAAAAUAAAAUUUUAUAAAAAUUCCAUAAAAGUUAAUUUUAAUCAAUUUAGUCUCUAAUUUUGAUUAAAAUAAAAUUUAAAGAUAAUUGACAACAGUAUUAAAUAUUUAUAAUUAAAUUCAAUUACUUGAAUAUUUUUUAUGAUUUAAUAUGUUAACUUGAAAUUUUUUUUAAUCAGGUGGCAUAUAUUAGUAUAGAAAAAUUUGUUUUCAAAUAAAGAAUAUACUAAUAAUUUUUUAAAAUCUUUUUUGAAAUGUAAAAGUUGUUUUUUUAUAAUUUAAAAAUAUUAACUUUUAUUUAAUUAAUAUAAAAGAUGAUUUCUUUUAAAGCCAUUUGAUUCAUGUGGCCAUAAAAUUAAUGCACCUCAGGCAACCACUAAAACCCCAUGGCAUCCAAAUUAAAGCUAAAUCUUAUUAUUGUUAUUAAUUUUUCUUAAAUUUACUUUUAAUAAAAUCACAGUGACUAAAUCCAUUAAAAUAAAAUUGGAAUAGAGGGAUUAAAACAGUAAACCUAACAUAUUAGAAACUAAACUCAGAGUUUUAAAUUUACAUAAUGCUAGUGUCUCGAAUUUAAAGAAGAGUUUUGAAUCUCACAUCGAACAUAAUAGGAAGGUCACUAGGGUAUAAAAGGAUUCACACAAUCUUUUCCUUGUGAGGCACCUUUUGUAGGACAAAACAGUGAGGUCAGGAGAUCAGAGUGGAUAAUAUCUCACAAGGGUGUGAACCGUAGCGGUCAGGUUGAUUUGAGACGCCGGAUGAAUGGAUGCUCAGAUCUCGAAGCCGCGCGAGUUCGGAGCUUGAGUCUCAACCCGUGACAAGUGGUAUCAAAGCCAGCCCUAUACCAUUCGAUUCACUCGAAGUACCUCGAGGGAGGUAGGCAGGGUGGCCAGCCUCAGUGACGAGGGCGUCACGAAGUUGGGUGAGGGAGAAUGUCACGGACCUAAGGAAGAAUUCGGAUCCCGAAGUCGCGCGAGUUCAGAGCUUAAGUCUCUACCCGUGACAAGUGGUAUCAGAGCCAGUCCUAUACCGUUCGAUCCACGCCAAGACCUCGAGGGAGGUAGGCAGGAUGGCCAGCCUCCGUGACGAAGGCGUCACGAGGUUAAGUAAGGGAAAAUAUCAUGGACCUAAGGAAGAAUCCUGACGAGGGUGUCGUGAGGUUGGGUGGGGAAGAAUGUUACGGACCUAAAGAAGAGUCUUGAAUCCCACAUCAAACAUAAUAUAAGGGUCACUGGGGUAUAAAAAGGUUCACACCAUCUCUUUCUUUCGAACAUAAUAAGAGGAUCACUAUGGUAUAAAAGGACAUCGAACAUAAUAGGAUCAUUGGGGUAUAAAAGUGUUCACACCAUCUUUUCCUUUCGAAUAUAAUAGGAAGGUCACUAGGGUAUAAGGCGUCACGAGACUGAGUGAAGGAGAAUAUCAUGGACAUAAGAAAGAGUCACGAGAUUAGGUGGGAGAGAAUGUUACGGACCUAAAAAAAAGUCCUGAAUCUCACAUCGAACAUAAUUGCGAAUUCGAAUUUCUUUCAAUUCAAGGGAUAAAAAUGGUAUGCAUAGAAAUUCAGUAUUUUUAAAUAAUGUAAAAAAUUGUGGUCAAGUUUUGAAUAAAAACAAACAUCUUGAUAGUGAUAAAAAGAAACUAAUUAAAUUAAAGUUCUUUCUUUGGCCCAAUUAUCGAUUAGAAGAUUUAGUUUGUAUGAAUCGCUAUUGGUUUAAUAGUAAUAAUGGCAGUCGUUUCAAUAUGAUAAGGAUACAUAUGUACUCGCGUUUGAAAAUUCGUCAAUGGUACAUUUUUCCAUAGAUUAGGUAGGAGAGAAUGUUACGAACCUAAAGAAAAGUUCUGAAUCUCACAUCGAACAUAAUAGGAGGGUCACUAGGAUAUAAAUGAAUUCACACUAUCUCUUCUUUUCGAACAUAAUAGGAGGAUCACUAGGGUAUAAAAGCACAUCGAACAUAAUAAGAAGGUCACUAAAGGGUUCACACCAUCUUUUUCUUGUGAGACACCUUUUGUAAGACAAUUGUAAACCGUGACGGUUAUGCUGAUCUGAAACAUCGGAUGAGUAAAUACUCGGAUCCCAGAGCUGCGCAAGUCGAAGCUCAAGUCUCAACCUGUGACACUAGCACUACCUCAUUUUUGUUUUUUUUUUUGUUCCAACUUUUAAAUCAAAUAAUUAUAAACCCUAAACUUUUUUCUUUAAUUAUAUUUAUUUAUUACAUGAAAUUGGUUUGGGCAUUUUUUGUGUAUCACAAUUGAAAACAAUGAAGUAAUGAAAGCUUUGUAGGAGAUAUGGUACAAUAAAUAAAUCAUUGGAUUUAGAAGAGCUUUAGUAUGGGUUUUAUUUGUUUCUUUCCUACUAAAAAUUUCAGAACCAAACUUGCCAAUCUUCACGGUGGAGAAAGUGGGGAGCUUUGAUUCAGUAUAAAAAAAGGUGAAAAAGCUGGAAAAUCAAAGGAGGAAAGGGGCUAGGGAUAGAGUAUCAGAUCAAAAAAUGAAGGAUAGAUUACGACAGAUUGGGAAGUGUUCCUGUUUCUGAAGCAUCUGUUGUAGUUCAAGCUAACGUACAUACACACCGAGAGUGGGUAAAUAUUCAAGCUUUUCAAAAGCAGCAAUUCCAGUUAAAUCAUGGACAUUUCUGUACCAAAGAAGGAACGUAGAAUCCGAUAAAAGAAUCAGUUAAACAUAUGUGAAACUCCCAACAUGGUUUGCAGAACCCAGUCUAGGUACAAGGCUGUAAAAUAAGUUCAUGAAAUAUGUAUAUAUAUAUGAUUUCUGGUGAUAGGUGCUCUGAUUAUUAACAAUCUCGUCCCGUCCACCAAUUGAGUGGGAAAGUUGACAACAUGUUGCAAUGAUUACCUUCUUAAUAGCAGGUCCAAUGAUUUCCUCGGAAGGAAUUCACGAAGGGCAAUGAAUUGAGUCAUCAGAAUCAUAUUCGGAAAAUAAAUCAUAACCUGACUCAACUUCAGAAUGAAGACCAUUGCCACCAGCUUUAUGACCAUGAACGAUCUUUGAUGAGUCCUCAAGAUCUACAUAGGCAGUUUUUUUGUAUAAGCCCCUGCUUCUGUCCAGAAAUCCUUUUCUCAUCAUGCUUCCAAAUCUUUCCCUGAUAUCAACAAGGGGGUAUCUCUGAAUAAGUCGUUGACAAUCAUAGGCUUCCCUAAGAACAACAGUUUGAGUACCAGACACCUCGGGAAUAUAAAAGAUGCCAGGAUGGCGCUCAAACACCUUAGUAAACUUCUGAGGUAGUGACAACGGUUUGCAUAGAUUACUCAUAUUCUGACGUUGAGUUUUCUUCUGUAUGGUAAGGUGAAGAAGCUCAUGAAAGACACCCACGAUUCUCUUCUCUGAAACAUCAGUACGUGGAUCCAAGUGAGAGGCAUCAGCAUAAGGUGAAGUAUAUGGUAGUUUCUGCCAUUCUUUCAACCAUUCCAUGCACUUUGUCUUCAAUCCAAAACCCCUUGUAAAUCCUAUUGGGAAGGCUAAACAGUUAUUUUUCAAAUCUUCUUUUGUUUGCAUGACAGCAUUCUUCUCUAAUUGGGAGACAGCAAGUGUAUCAUCCCAUGAUAAAAGUUUUAAACCAAUGCGAUAUCAGCAAGGUGAACCAAAGAAAAUAAAUCAGGGUAAUGUGGAAUCAAGGAAUCAACAUAAUAGCAAUCCCAAAUCCCAUUUCAGCUGAUCAACAGUUUGUAAAGGAAGGGUUCUAUCCUUGGUAAGCAUCGGCGAUUUCCGGAGCCUGUCAAGCAAAUCCAUCAUGCCUUCCAGGAUAACACCAAGUUUAUCAUGGUAAAGAUUUAAGGCUUCAAGGGUCAACUCAAAGCAAGGAACACGAGUGCCAGCGCUAUCAAACACAUAAGAUUCAUGAAAAAUGGUAGGGUAUCUCCUGAUAAAUGUGGAUAGCUUAAGAUCAUGUGGCAGACCAAGUUGGCCGCGAUGCCGGGACAGUUGGUAAAUGGGGAGACAACAAUUUGGAGCAGAGGAAAGGAUGGAAACAAGAUUGCAGGCUGCUCUUAGAUCUCUUUCACCAGCAACGACAGCAUCUAAGGUUUUAUCUUUAACCCAUUUCAACUUAACAUUAACUAGACUGAAAUUCUGCUGGUAACUAAAUCCCUUCCUCAGUCCACACGAAAAACCAAAGAUUUUAGCUUUUCCACACAAAAACCAAUAACCCAUUUCCUUUUAGCAAUAGAAAAAUGACAUAAAUCAGUUGUAACAUGCUACCAAAGUUCACCAAUUAAAACAGCCUUUGCAACAUCUAUAGAGACAAAGAAAAAUACCCAGAUUAAGAUUUUUGCUAAUUCUGCACAAACUGCUUUGUAAAUUAAAUAAACAAGAGUUAAAAAAAAAAGGGUAAUUCCGGGAGAGACAAUUUAUCGAACACAUAAUGUGCAAGAAUGCCACCAUAUGAAAAUUUCUUACUUCUUGGGCCACAGCAAAAAAGUAAAAUAAAAUGCUUACAUGAAUGAGGCUGAGCUGAAAAUUUAAUUUUCCAGUGAAAAGGUUGAGGUGAAUCAACUUGUUAUUCUUUUUAUCGUCUUUUUCUUUUCCUCCUUAGAGAGUUGAAUGAUUUCCCUGGAAAAUUUUCUCAAAAUUUUAGUGCUGAAACGAGAAGAACUAUGCCGUUACUUCAGACGGUUUAGAAGUUUAAAAAGGGUCUAUUUUUUUUUCUUUAAGAAAGAAAGGAAAAGUUUUUUUUUUUUUGAAAUAGAAAGGAAGGAAAGUUAAAUUAAAAUAUAAGAAUUCACAACUAGUAUUAAUAGUAUUUCAUAAUUCUUUAUGGCAUAAAAAAAUGUGAUACACGUGGUAUAUUUGUAUCUUUGAAUUAAAAAAUUAUAAUAUCCAUAUAUAAAAACAAACUCACGUACAAAAGGAAAGAACUUUAGAUCUAGCACAAAAUGAAGAGGUAAAGAUUAAACUGAAACCAAUUAUUUUUUUUUUUUCUUAUGAAAAAUAUACAUUGAAAAGGUUUAUUAUUGCAAAAAUAUAUAAAAAAAAAAGUAGUUUUCUUUUAUUUUUUUUAUCUUUUAAUCAAGUAAAAAUAAAAUUUUCUAUGAUCAUUUUCAAAGUUCAAAUAUUAUGAUUGAACUAAAAAAUUGGUACAAACAAAAUAUGGGUUUAAAAUUAAGAGACAAGAGAUAUUAAGAAAAUAUAAAACAUCUAAAAAACUUAUUAUCAUCUUCAUAUGAGUAGAAUCUCAAUUGAAAAAAUAACAGAAAUUUCAGAUUGAAUAAUCAAAUACAAUUCAAAUCUCUUAAAUUCAAGUUCAGAUGGAUACAUUACAUUAAUUUAACUUAAUAUUGAAAAAAAAAAAAGCAAAUUACAGUCAAAACAAAUCUAACAAGCAUUAUUACAAGGAACAAUGCAAGGACUAUACUCAGUUUUCUAGUCCUGAGAUUUCCUGCAAAUGAAGUGGUAGUUUUCAAGUUCCCAAACCAACAACUGCUCCAUCCUGACUUAUAUCCAGAAACGAUUUGACCACCAUAGAUUAAUUGGUGCUAUACAUUUCCAGUGAACAAUAUAGUUGCAUCCAGACUUCGCACAUUCGAGAGCCAAACCUUGACAGGGCUUACCACAUCUAACGCAGUCAGGGUAGUAAUAAAUCUUGUUAACAAAAGUGAGAGGGUGUGGAUGACCCUUGUACUUGUAGAUACCCCCCAAUUUGAUAAAUGGAAAAUUUCCAAGAACACAGUCGAUAUGAGCAGAAUUAUCACAAGUUGCACAAUGGUAAAACCAAUGAUUUGGAUCUCUUCUUUCCUCACAAAUGUCACAAUAAUAACAUUCUGAAUAAUUAUUGCCAUCAUGAUUUGUGAGUAUAAGAAGAUGUUCAUCACAUUUGUGUCGAGCUGCAGUUGGUAGUGAAAAACAUUCAGGAUCUAAAGCAAAAUUGCACUCCUUACAACAGAAUGCCCCAUCUGUACCAUCACCACAAGCAAUACAAUGCCCUUCAUACUGGUUAUAGUAAAGGAGAGGGUGCUCAUGUUUUGGACUUGUUCGAGCACCUGGAGUUAGAGCAAUCACACAUCGAAGGCAUGUCCGUCUCUCACAUUCACCACAUUUAUAUGCAAAGGCAUUAGAUACGAAACGACAAUUUUCACAUCUAAAAACGUCAUCUGAUGUAAGGAUGAGAGGUUGCUGGCAAUCAUGAUGCCAAACAUGCUUCAUCUUAGGUAACUCAGCACAAGCUUUAUGAAGAAAAAAAUCACAUUGUGAACAAUAGUAAAAUGAAUCCGAGAUUGGUAACACGCACCCAUCACAACUUUUAUCACACUCUCUGAUUUUGUCACUUAACAUUAAGUUAUGAAUAUGCUUGAAAUGCUUUAUUUUUGUAGCUUCUCCAGCAUCGUUUCUCUCAAAAACACAAGUGAUGGACUCAAUAGAUAUAUCAGGCAAAAGUUCCAAACUUUCACUAGAUUUCUCACCUUCAUUUUUGAGUGAAACUAUAAAAUACGAAUCUUUGUCCUUUGUCACACAGUUCACAUGGAAUAUAAUAUUGCAACUUAAACAAGAGUAACUGCCAUACUCUGUAUUGACUUCUUCAUGACAAAUUAAGCAAUUCUGACUUUUAAAAUCUUCUUCGUGAAAGAAAUAUGUGUGAGAAAUGCGAUGCUCAUGCCACUUGCUUCUGAUAAUUCGUGGCAAUGAAAGGCAUUUUUUAUGGACUAUAAUGUUGCAUGUACAACAUAUAUAGGCAACACAAUUUCCUUCUGUACCGCAAGCAUCACAAAUGAAUGGAGCUUCUCUCAGGAGCAGGGUGAAUGGGUGUUGAUGACUUUUAUCUUCAACAACGGGCGGUUGUGAUACACAUCCAAUGUGAACAGCAAAUUUACAAGGUGAACAACAAUAAACAAAUCCUCUUCGUGGGGUUUCUUGACAUAUCUUGCAAGAAAGUCGUUCACUAUUAAAUUGCAAAAGAAGAGGAUGUUUACGAUGGCUCGGGUGAUUGAUUUUAAGAGGCAGAUCAACACAUUUUUUGUGUAGAUUAAAUCCACAAUCAAGAGAAAAGUGGGUAUAAUUUAUCAAAGGUUCCCAACACCCGAAGCACUUACUAACGUCUUUUAGUUCUUCACCAAUGUCACUUUCAGUGGAAAUCGGUGGAUCUUCAAGAGCAACAUGUUCAAGCUCUCGCAAAUUUUUUUCAGCAAUAUUAUAUGUAAACAAAGCACAUUUGAUAUGAAAGUCCAAUUUGCAAGAGCAAUGGUAAACGAACCUCUUACAUGUUUUGUUACAAAAGUAGCAAACGCACCAUGUAUAAGAAGAUGGUGGACUUUGCAGAAGAGCAAGAGGAUGGUCACGAUGAAAAGGGUGAUUGAUCUCCAAAGGUGCCUCAGCACAUUUCUUAUGGAGGUAAAACCGGCACCCAAAACAGCCAAAACUUGGAGCUGACACCUUCUCCCCACACAUCGAACACUUAGCUUUUUCACUUGCAUUGCUGAUCUGCUCUUCAUUCAACAGUACCAGUGAAUGUUCAUGCCCAAAAGUUUGAGACUCCAUAGUAUGUCCUUCCUUUCUGUCUCUUCCCAAGUAUCAGAGUCCAGAAAAUAAAAAAUAAAAAACACCGAAACCCGAAGUCCAAAAUGAAGGAGAGGCUGGAUUUGGAGUUUCAAAGCAAACGUUUGGAUGCAAAGAGAUGAAAAGUUAAGAAGGAUGAUUACUUGGGGAUGGAGAAAAAUUUAUAAAUGAGAGGUUUCUGCGCUGUGACGUAGUCUUCUCGUACUCCUUUCUUGCUUUGCUUGGCUUUAUAAAGUUUUCUUGUUCUCUGUACUGUCCUUCCAUGCUUUUCACUUUAUUUUCAUUUUUAUUAUGAUAUUUAUUUAUUUUCUUAUUAUUACAAUAUCAAAUUUUCAAUAUUAUCCCAUCAACUUUUAAUUAAAUCUUUAAUAAUAAUGAGGUUAAAUAAUUUUUUAAGUCAAAAAAAUUAGUAAUAAUUUAUUUUGUUAAAGCCCAAUUAAAAAAAAAAAAAAAACUGAUACAUCAAUAACAAUGCUAACUCAGUUUUAGCUAAAAAAAUAACCAUUUUUAAUUCAUAGAGUCUGAUUGUCUUUCUAAAAUUUAUGUGCUUGUAUUGCUAAAUUUAUAUUUUUCUUACAAUUAUAUCUAAGUUUAAAAUUUUAUGACAAAUAUAAAUAUAAAUAUAUAUUCAAUUAACAUGUCAUAGGAAAAUUAAACUUUACUAUUAUUAUUUUGAUUAAAAUGUUGAAAAUAAAUGUGAAAAAUAAGAGAUAUUAAAUAUGGAUCAAAUUGUAAAAAGAAUUGAAUAUAAAUAUAAUAUUGAUUUUUUAGGAGUAAAUAAAUAUUGAAUGAUUAAUUAAAUAAUAAAAAAAAGUAUUGGCAUACCUUUACUAAAUUAUGAUUUUGAUUAAAAUAUUAAAAAAAAGCAAUCAAGAAAUGUGUGAUAAACAAAAAAGAAUUGAAUAAAAAUAAUGUCAAAAGAAGAAAUCAUCUAAAUAAAAUAAACAAUAAAAUUAUGAAAAUAAUAUAAAUCUUAAAGAAAAAUUGAAUAUUAUUAAUUAUUAAUAGACUUAAAGUGAUAUGUGUUUUUUAAUUUUAAAAGAAACUAAUAAUAAAGUAUUUGAAAAUAAAAAAAAAUAGAAGAGAUACUUGUAAUUUUAAAUUUAGGGAGAAUAUUUUUGCUUUAAUUUUUAUUGGCAUAUUUAUAAUUAAAAAAAUCAGUAAUAUAAUUUGUUUUUAAAUUUAGCAAUAUUUUAAGUAAAAAUUAAUUAUUUGAUUAAUGAAUAUUUUGUCAUAUUAUUAUUUUCUAAUCUAUUUAAUGUCAAUUUAACCUUGCACCAACUAUAAGUAUUAUAUGUUAUUGUAGACUUAUGAUCUUAUUUAAUUUAUUAAAGAAAUUCUUUUUUUAUAACACUUAACUUAAUUUUAAUAUUUAAAAAUAAUUUAAAGUGAAAGUUGGUUAUAUAUUUAUUGUACAUGACGAAAUUAUAACAAUACAUAUCUUUUAUGCAUGCAUUUAGUUUCACUUAUUAUUAUACAAAAAUCAAUUAAUUUAAAAUAAAAAAUAUUAAAAACAUAUAUUACAAAUAUAAUAAUAAAAAUGUAAUAUUUAAAUAUUUCAACGCUUUACAUAACAUAUAAAGAUAAUAAAUAAAUAAAUGAAAUCCAAAAUUUCAAAAUUAUUUUAUAACGUACUUAUAUAGUUUAAAUGCAAGAUGAAAAAUAUGUACAUGUUUUAUAUAAAAUAUAGUUAGAUUAAUUUUAAAUGAGAUUUUAUUUUUAAUUUUUUUAUUGGAAUAAUCACAAUAAUCUUAUCUCAUUUAAAUGAAGAAAAAAAUUAUAAAUUAUUUAAUAUAAAAAUUUGGAUAAAUAUGAUUUUUUAAGAUUUGAAUAUCUUUUAAAUUUAAAUAAUAAGGUUUUUUGGUAGUCCACUACAAUUAAAGAACUAUCGUAUGAUUUAAUAAUAUGAAUUGUCCACAUAAAAUUACACGUAAACAAAAUUAUUUUUAUAUAUGAUUUAUUUAUUUUAUAUUAUUACAAUAUCAAAUUUUUAAUAUUAUCCAUCAACUUUCAAUUAAACCUUCAAUUUUUUUUUGUAUUUUUUAUAAAUAUUCUUAAUUAAUUAUUAAGGAGCAAUGUUUUAUUAAAAUAUUUUCAAUGAUUUCAUAUGAUCUUAUGAGUUUAAAAUUAAAAAUAUAUAUAUUUUGAAAAAGAAACUUGAAUAUGACAGUAUUAAUUUUUUAAGUUCUAUUAUUUAACAAAUAUUAUCGUUAUUUUUUUUAUCCAAUUUUCAUAUUGAAUCUUUUAGCACAUCUCAAAUUAAAAUAUUUGAAAUAACAUCAAAUGAAAAUUUUUAAAAUUAAAAAAAUGAUAUUUUUAUUUCUAAUUUCUUAUAAAAAGAAAAAGAUAACCUCCUAUAAAAUUAUUUUAUUAUUUAUUUUUAUUUUUUAUGUAAUAAAUUUAUUAUAUUAUGGGAAAUUCUAAAUGUAUCAUUUUUUUUCAUUACGCUUUACUUUUUUUUCAAAAUUUUGUUGUAAAUAAAAUUAUUUAAUUACCUUUCUCGCAAGUUUUUGUAUAAUCAUAUUCGAUAAAUUUUAUAAUUUACCAAAAAUAAAUUUAUAAAAAGUUAUAUAAUUUUUCAUAAAUGGAUUUCCAAAGAAAAAGAGAAUGAAAGUUGAAGGAAAAUUACAAAAAAAAAAAGAAAUUUUAUUAGAAAAUUUUAUUUAUUAAUAUAAUAAAAAAUUAUUAUUAAAAAUUAUAAAUUUUAAAAUUAAUUAAAAAGUAAAUUAAUUCUACUAUUUUAACAUUUUUUUCUAUCUCUUCCCAAGUACCAGAGUUUAAAGAAAAACAAUGAAACCCAAAGACCAAAAUGAAGGAAAGCUGGAUUUGGAGUUUCAGAGCAUACGUUUGGAUGAAAUAGAUGAAAAGUCAAAAAGGACACUUACUUGGGCAUGGAGAGAAAUUUGUAAAGGAGAGGUUGCUGCGCUGUGAAGUAAUCUUCUGAUAUUGCUUUCUUGCUUUGCUUGGCUUUAUAAAGCAUCCUUUUUCUCUCUUUUACCCUUUUCAUGCUUUCACUUUAUUUUCAAUUUUAUUAUGAAAUUUAUUUAUUUUUUUAUUAUUACAAUAUCAAAUUUUCCAUAUUAUCCCAUCAACUUUCAAUUAAACCUUUAAUAAUGAUGAGGUUAAAUAAAUUUUUUAAUUCAAAAAAUAGAUAUAAUUUAUUUUGUUAAAGCUAAAUUAAAAAAAAAAAACUCAAUAACAAUACCAAUUCAAUUGUAGUUAAGGAUGUAAUUGAGUCGAGUCGAGCCGAAUAGUAAAAAGUUCGAAUUCGAGCUUGACUCACAACUCAGGAUUUGAUACUCGACUCGAGUUCGAUCGAAUUUUAUUUUUCAAGCUCAAGUUCGAUUCGCGAUCGAAUUCGAACUACUCAAACUCGUUCGAUUAAGCUCGAUUAAUAUGUAAAAAUAAGUUCGAUUAUAUACUCGACAAGAGUUCGAUUAUUCAUACUCGAACUCGGACUCGAAAUUUUUAUUAAUUAAAAUAAUAAAAAUAUAUUUAAAUAUAAAAGUUCGAUUAGGCUCGUGAGCUAUUCGAGUCGGAUAUAAAAAUACUUGAAUUCGGUUCGAUCGAUAAGUAGAACUACUCGAAUUCGAGCUCGACUCGAUAAUAAUCGAACCGAAUUCAAAUUUUUUUUGAAUCAAAUCCGAGUAACUUAUAACUAUCAAUGUAUCAUUUACAGUUCUAAUUGUAACAAAAAAAAUAACCAUUUUUUUAUUAACUAUAGAUUUUUUAAAAUUUAUAUCCUAACUCCAACUUAAUUUAUCAUGUUAGUUCACAAUUCUUUUAAAAAAAAUUAAAGAAUUAAAAAAAUAAUAUUUUAAUAUUUUAAAUGUAUUUUAAAAUUAAUUUUAAAUUAAAAAAUUUUAUUCAUAUUUUAAUAUCUGACUCUAUUUUAUGCUUGAAAUUUCUUGUCCAAAACACAAUUGGACUAUGGUUGCUGUAAGCUAUCAGUGACCGAGCAAGCUUAUCUAACAGGUGUAGGAUAGAUGUGGACAAAUAAAGAAGUUUAUAUAUAUAUAUAUAUAUAUAUAUAUAUAUUAAUUUUCAUCAUCAAAAUUAAGUAAAAUAAUAUUAUUAUGAAAUAAGCAUGUGUAAAUUGUAAAGCUCGUUUAUGUCAAAUACUAAUUUAAAAAUAAAUAUAAUAUUAUUUUAAUUUUUUUGUUAUUUUUAUAAAUAUUCUUAAUUAAUUAUUAAGGAGAGAUGUUUUAUUAAAAUAUUUUCAAUGAUUUUAUAUGAUCUUUUGAGUCUAAAAUAAAUAAAAAAAAAGAUUAUGAAAAAGAAACUUGAAUAUGAUAGUAUUAGUUUUUUAAUUUGUAUUAUUUAACAAAUAUUAUCAUUAUUUUUUAUCCAAUUUCAUAUUGAAUCUUUUAGCAUAUCUCAAAUUUAAAAUAUUUGAAAUAACAUCAAAUUAAAAUUUUUAAAAUUAAAAAAAUGAAAAAUUUAUUCCUAAUUUCUUAUAGAAAGGAAAAAGAAAACCUCCUAUAAAAUUAUUUUUAUUUUUUAAUCAACAAUUAUUUUAUUAUUAUUAUUUUCUUAAUAAACUUAUUACAUUAUGGGAAAUUCUAAAUGCACCUCCUUUUUUCUUUUCACACCUUCACUUUUUUUUUAAAAUUUUUUAUAAAUAAAAUUAUUUAAUAAUUUUUUCACAAGUUUCUGAAUAUUCAUAUAUGAUAAAUUUUAUAAUUUAUCAAAAAUAAAUUUAAUUUACCAAAAAUGGAUUUAACUUUCUAAAAAUGGAUUUAACUUUCCAAAAAAUGGAUUUCUACAUAAAAAUACAAUGAAAGUUUAAGGAAAAUUACAAAAAAAAUUUUUAUUUAAUUAGUGUAAUAAAAAAUUUUAAUUAAAAAAUCAUAAAUUUUAAAAUUAAUAAAAAUAAGUUAAUUUUAUUAUUUUGCCUUCAAAGAAAAAAUAAAAAUCUCAUGACAAAAUAAUAAAAUUAAAUUUUUUUAUUAAUUUUAAAUUUUAUGAUUUUUUUAAUAAUAACAUUUUCAUUACAUUAAUUAAUAAAAAAUUUUAAUACAAUUCUUUUUUGUUUUUCUUAAACUUUCAUUUCUUUCAAAAUUUCAUUUUCAAAAAAUUAUAAAACUUAUUAGAUAUAUAUAUUCAAAAAAAUUUUAAAAAUUAAAUAAUUUUAUUUAAAAAAAAAAAAAAAAAACAGGGUGCGGUGUAUUCCUAUCCUUGGAACGUGACAGCCGUAUCCCAGUCUGAAAGUUAAAAUGUCAGUUAUGUCCCUUGCUCAAUCGAACAGACGCGUGUGAAACAGCAGUCUUCUUUGUUUUGAUGAUUUUGAACGUCUUUUCUCUCGAUCUCUGCUCUCAACAGAGUUUCUGACAUUAGAUUUCGGUGGACCAAUCUAUCUUAAUGUCUUCUCUGAACCCUUCCCCCGCCCACUCCCUCUCUCUCAUGGCGAUCGCUGUUGCUUCUUCCUUCUCCGUCGGUAAUAACAAUAAUUUCUCUUUUUUUUUUAUAUGAAUGGAAUGAUUGGUAACAGGCAAAUGAAGAUAGAGAUUUUCUUUUGUUAAUUUUUUAAGUACCCAUUUCGUUUUUUUGUUUAAAGCAAACCCUUGUUGGUUAUUUGUAUGUUUCAAUGCCUAAUUUGCUGUAGAAAAGAUGGUUUAGUUAGCUUAAACAGGUGUGCCCACAUGCAUGUAAGUUUUUUAAUUUUAUUAUUAUUUUUAUUUUUAGUCAAGUUGAUUCAAUUGAUGUGAUGAAAAGAUGAUGCAAAAGAGUGUAAAUAUGCAAAAUAUAUAAGUAAUUUUUGUUAUAAUUUUUCCUUCACUUUGUCUUCUUAUUCAUGCUCAAAAUUUGGCUGAUAGUAUGAUAGCAACAAAGACUUGAAAUAGGGCAUUCCCUAUAGCUGUGUUCAAGAUGAAACAUAUUUUCUUUUUGGCUUUUGAAUGAAUAAAAGAACUCUGAAUGCCUCCACUUUGAAAAUUUUAUGAGAUUUGUAUACCCUUUUCAUGGCUAUCAUUAGAACACUUACAUGCAAAUGGGCAAACUUCACGUUCUGGAAUGUAGUUUAUUGUCUGUUCUUCACUUAUUUGAUUGCUAACGAAAUUUUCUUUUUAUAUUAAUUUUAAAUUUAUGGAAUGGGUUUGGGAGAGCAAUGGCUUUGUCUACUAGUUAGCCAAUUAUAGUUUUCAUUUUGGCAAGAAGUGAACCUCUUGUAAUUGUUAUCUAGCUUUGGGUUCUAUAGUUGGUUUCCAUUGUUGGGGAGAAUGCUUAAAAAAUGUAUAGACUUUUGAUUUGGCAUCUAAUUCUAGCUUUUAUACUCAUAUUUUUCCUUUGUACCAAUAUAAAAUAUUAAAGGAAUGCACAUUUCGUGAUUAUUUUUCCUACAUUUUACUUAUAGUGUGGCUAAUUUUGAUGUCUGCAUUUGCAUUUUCAUGAUUUCUUUUGGUAACCCCUUAUUGUUGAAUGAUGCUAUCAGGUCCUUCGCAGUGUCAUUUAUGUCAAGUAGAAGGGGCUUAUUACUCACCUUUACAUGGGGUCAGAAGCAGUUGGAUCAAACCUACAUUUUCUGAUGGUUGUAAAGCUACUGACUUGUCUGGCAUAAGGUGCGAAAUAGUUAUAUCUAAGCUUAUAUGGAAAGAGAAAACCGUUUCUUGAUUCUGUAUAACUGAUCCAGUUUUCUGUUAUUAAUUUGUUUAUGAUUUUUUAUAGCAGUAUCUUUCCAUUUCUUUGGCAAGCCAUCUAUUUUUGAAGCUUAGAUUUUAUUGUGCAUGCGUCUGGCUUGUUGAUUUACAAGUACAAGUUAAAGAAUGCUUGAUAUUUUGGCUCAUUGCAUUUGUUGUGUGAUGGUUGUUUCUCCUGACAGUUUUUUGUAUUAUUGUAAUGUUGUCUGGUGAGAAGGUCAAGUCUGUGUAUCAUACGUUUUAUCAUAUUGUACAAAUUGGUGAUUAACAGAUAUUUAUUUGCUCACCUAAAUAGGAAAGCAAUAAUAUUGUCAAGAUGUGUCUUGUGGAUCAUUCCAUCUAUUAAACAAUGAAUUUUGGUAGUAGCUUGGCUAAUGCAGUGAUAAUGUUGUGGGUAACACCUUAACACUCAUUGUGGCUGGAAGUGCUUGUUUGUUUUGUGGUCAAUAAGAAAAACAUGCUAGUUUGAUUAAGAUGCUUCUACUUUAAUGUUGUUUGGAUUCAAGGCAAUUCUACACCAAAAAUAUGUUAAUGCAGUCAUGUCUGGUUUUGUAAUAUAUACGGAAUGAAUGUAAUGUGGGCUAUUUGGGAG